AGUGGGGUUUGAGAUUGGACCCAGGGUCAAGACAGAACGUGAAGGUGGGAUGAGGACAUGGACAGAACAUGGCCAAGAAGGGUCUCGGGGAGCAGCCAGGACGAGGAUGGGGGCGAGGAACCACCCGGACUGGGUCUCCAUGGGCGGGGUCGUGGCUUAGGGCAGGGACAGGUGUAGGGCGAGGGGUGAGUCCAGGGCGUGGACGUGCGUGGGUUCACAGGCGUGAACGGUGGCCGCACGUGGGCUGGGACUGAGCUGAAAAAUCGGCCAGGGGCGAGGCCCGGGUAGGAAGUGGGUGCGGCGUGGCCUGACGGUGUGAUUGGCAGGCGGAGCUGAUCCGAGAGGACAUCCAGGGGGCUCUGCACAAUUACCGCUCGGGCCGCGGGGAGCGCAGGGCGGCGGCGCUCAGGGCCACGCAGGAGGAGUUGCAGCGCGACCGCUCGCCCGCCGCUGAGACCCCGCCCCUGCAGCGCCGUCCGUCAGUCCGCGCAGUGAUCAGCACCGUA
rnacentral:sRNA from 1 species